rnacentral:rRNA from 1 species
UACAGGGGGGGCAAGCGUUGUUCGGAAUUACUGGGCGUACAGGGUUCGUAGGUGGCCAACUAAGUCAGACGUGAAAUCCCUCAGCUUAACUGGGGAACUGCGUCUGAUACUGGAUGGCUUGAGUGUAGGAGAGGAAUGCGGAAUUCCAGGUGUAGCGGUGAAAUGCGUAGAUAUCUGGAGGAACACCGGUGGCGAAGGCGGCAUUCUGGACUACAACUGACACUGAGGAACGAAAGCCAGGGGAGCAAACGGG